GGAUUAGAUACCCCGGUAGUCCACGCCGUAAACGAUGGAUGCUAGCCGUUGGGCAGCUUGCUGCUCAGUGGCGCAGCUAACGCAUUAAGCAUCCCGCCUGGGGAGUACGGUCGCAAGAUUAAAACUCAAAGGAAUUGACGGGGGCCCGCACAAGCGGUGGAGCAUGUGGCUCAAUUCGACGCAACGCGCAGAACCUUACCAGCUCUUGACAUGGCAGGACGGUUUCCAGAGAUGGAUUCCUCCCCGCAAGGGGCC
rnacentral:rRNA from 1 species